rnacentral:rRNA from 1 species
UGAAUACGAGACGCUACGGCGUCGAAGCAGUCUAUGUCAUACUUCCAAGAAAAGCUUGCACUGUCAUAAACAAAUAAUGCCUGUACCAUAACCGACACAGGUGGGUAGGUAGAGUAUACUAAGGGGCGCGAGAUAACUCUCUCUAAGGAACUCGGCAAAAUGACUCCGUAACUUCGGGAGAAGGAGUGCCUUAUUUAUAAGGUUGCAAUAACAAGAUCCAAGCAACUGUUUAUCAAAAACACAGGUCUCCGCUAAGUCGUAAGACGAUGUAUGGGGGCUGACGCCUGCCCAGUGCCAGAAGGUUAAAGAAGUUGGUUAGCAUUAGCGAAGCUGAUAACUGAAGCCCUGGUGAACGGCGGCCGUAACAAUAACGGUCCUAAGGUAGCGAAAUUCCUUGUCGGGUAAGUUCCGACCCGCACGAAAGGCGUAAUGAUUUGGAUACUGUCUCAGAGAGGGGCUCGGUGAAAUAGACUUGUCUGUGAAGAUGCGGACUACCUGCACCAGGACAGAAAGACCCUAUGAAGCUUUACUGUAACUUGAAAUCGAAAUUGGACUUUAUUUGCGCAGUAUAGGUGGGAGGCAUUGAUAAUAUUCUUGCGGGAAUGUUGGAGCCAUCAGUGAGGUACCACUCUUGUAAUGUUAGAUUUCUAACUUUGGAUCAUUAUCUGGUCAAAGGACAGUUUCAGGCGGGCAGUUUGACUGGGGCGGUCGCCUCCUAAAUGGUAACGGAGGCGCACAAAGGUUUCCUCUGAACGGGUAGAAAUCGUAUCUAGAGUGUAAAGGCAUAAGGAAGCUUGACUGUGAGACCUACAAGUCGAGCAGGGACGAAAGUCGGUCUUAGUGAUCUGACGGUGCUGAGUGGAAAGGCCGUCACUCAACGGAUAAAAGUUACUCUAAGGAUAACAGGCUGAUCUCCCCCAAGAGUUCACAUCGACGGGGAGGUUUGGCACCUCGAUGUCGGCUCAUCGCAUCCUGGGGCGGUAGUACGUCCCAAGGGUUGGGCUGUUCGCCCAUGAAAGCGGUACGCGAGCUGGGUUCAGAACGUCGUGAGACAGUUCGGUCCAUAUCCGGUGUAGGCGUUAGAAUAUUGAGAGGAGCCUUCUUUAGUACGAGAGGACCGAGAAGGACAUACCUCUGGUGUACCAGUUAUCGUGCCAACGGUAAACGCUGGGUAGCUAUGUAUGGAGAGGAUAACCGCUGAAAGCAUCUAAGUGGGAAGCCCACCUCAAGAUGAUUGCUCUCACAGGGUUAACCUG